rnacentral:rRNA from 1 species
GGUGAGUAACACGUGGGAAUGUACCCUUUGGUUCGGAAUAACGUUUGGAAACGAACGCUAAUACCGGAUGAGCCCUACGGGGGAAAGAUUUACGCCAAAGGAGCAGCCCGCGUCUGAUUAGCUAGUUGGUGGGGUAAAGGCCUACCAAGGCGACGAUCAGUAGCUGGUCUGAGAGGAUGAUCAGCCACACUGGGACUGAGACACGGCCCAGACUCCUACGGGAGGCAGCAGUGGGGAAUAUUGGACAAUGGGCGGAAGCCUGAUCCAGCCAUGCCGCGUGAGUGAUGAAGGCCUUCGGGUUGUAAAGCUCUUUCGCACACGACGAUGAUGACGGUAGUGUGAGAAGAAGCCCCGUAACUUCGUGCCAGCAGCCGCGGUAAUACGAAGGGGGCUAGCGUUGUUCGGAAUUACUGGGCGUAAAGGGCGCGUAGGCGGCUUAUCAAGUCAGGCGUGAAAGCCCCGGGCUUAACCUGGGAACUGCGCUUGAGACUGGUAGGCUAGAGUACCGGAGAGGUAGGUGGAAUUCCCAGUGUAGAGGUGAAAUUCGUAGAUAUUGGGAAGAACACCAGUGGCGAAGGCGGCCUACUGGACGGUAACUGACGCUGAGGCGCGAAAGCGUGGGGAGCAAACAG